UUUUAAAAGAAAAGCACAUAGGUGUUCUACUCUCGUGGAUGGAAAUAGUGUUCUAAUUUAAACUAACGGUAUAGAAAGCCAAAUAAAUACUCUUGAUGUCAGGCUAAAUAGGAAAACUAUCCCACUCUUAUCCCAUAUAAUCUGUUCUUAUUAUAUGAAUGUUAUGAGUAUUUUUGCUUAGAGAUUGAUAUAUUACAAACCAAUGACAGUAGAUUUUUCUUAAAAACUCCUUCUGAAUAAAAGAGAUCUAAAUUGAAAGACACCAUAGACUGUUUAAUGAGUUGUGAGAGAUGAAGAUGCCAAGAUAUUGUGAGGGAUGUGUGAGGUCUAAAUGAGUUAAUAUGUGUAAAGCACUUGGUGGAGUACCUGGCACACAGGAAGCUCUGUGUUAUUGCUGCUGCUGUUCUUAUUAAGAACUUCAAGUAGCUUGCAAUCCAGUGGUAGAGAGAAACACAUAAGCUGACCACAAGCAAUGUGAUACAUGAUGUAAUUCAGCUAUGAUCAAAAUUCUGUGGGCGUUCCAAGGGGAUGGGGUCUGCCAGGGAACAGGGAGAGUGGCAGGGAAGCAAGAUGGCACCCAGAGAUCCCACAACUGCAGAGUGAGCAUGUUGCUAGAACCAGAGCAACACAACCAACCUAACUUUUUCAGAAACACUUUGUUGGCAAAUCUUUUACUACUGAAGGCUUUAUGUCUUAAAAUCCAUAAUGUUUAAAGUUUCCACAGUUUCAAGCAUUCCUUUGCCUCUGGUGGUUAGGGGAACGGGGGCACUGGGCAGAAGAGCAAGGCUUUCACUAAGAUGAUAUGAGAAUGGGGAAUUGGGGGAAGAGGUCUCUGCAGCUUAUGAAGAUAUCGCCCAGUACUCAAAGAAAGUUCUGGCCUCACUCAGAAGUCCAGGAAAGGCACGAGGGAAAGGCACGUUCCCAUUCCCCGGACUCCAGGAGGGAAAGGCACGUUCCCAUUCCCCAGGCUCUGGUGCCUCUCUAGCAGAGGAGAAACAGUGGAGCACAGACUUGGUGAUGUGUACAUUGAGCAAGAGAGAGAAGGGGUAGGCAGUGGGGCUGUGGCCCAACUUGGCGGGCACUGCCCAAGAAAGCCCACCUUUUUCCUCCAGCCCCAUGCCACGUGUCUAGCACACUAACUCAGUGUUUCCUAAGCCAGAUGACAUGGAAGGCUGCUUAAAAGUCUACAUUCUUUACUACAGGCCAUUAACUUUAUGAAGGCAAAACAUAUUUAUGUCCCUCCAGUUCUUCAAUAAACAGAGUAAAGAAACUUUCUGUGGGUAGUUCACUCUGGACGGGUGAAAAGCGGGCAGCUAUUCUGAUGUGAAUAACUAAUAAAACAUAUAGAGAGAAAAAAAGUUCAGAAUUAAACAGAGGAACACUGUUGGUAGAAUUAAAUAGAUAUAACUUUGGGGGAAGGCAUUUUGGCAACUGCUAUCAAACUUGACCCAGCUAUUCCACUGUGUCACAUUUAUCCUAUGUGUAUACUCCCUGACACAUGUCUAAGAACAAACAAUGCUGUAUUAUUUGAAAAAAAAAUUCAAACUGGAAACAACGUAAAUGUCCAUCUACAGAGUGCUAGCGAUGAGGUUGUCUAACGUGUAAGUUUCCCAAUGUUACAUGAAAAAGCAAAGUUCAAAAUAGUAGGUAUAUUGUAACCCUAGUUGUCUAACACAUAUGUACCAUGUAUCUAAACAUCUAUAUUUCCAUCUGUAAUAUUGAUACAGUUGUAUAUGUAUUCGAAAUGCUGGAAAGAUCUAGGGCAAAUUGGCAGCCCAGGAACAAAUUUAGUCUGCAGGAAGAUUUGUUUAUUUUUUGUUGUUGUUUUUUCACUUAAAUUUGAAUGCUUUUAGGAGAGGCUCUCAUACAAUUCCUAUUUAUUCCUCAGUGUAUUCCCUGUUAUCUUACACUCUCUGCUUCCCUCAGUUGCUUCUGGCCCUCAGAAGCAAAUGAGGAAAUAAAUGAUGGUGGUAGGGGUAGCUAAAGGGAUGCUUUAGUCUUUCCUUUCUUACAGUUUCAACACUGUAAGCAAAUAUUACUUUAUAACUUAAGGGAGAGUAGAGUAGUAACUGCCAUCAUUUCACAUCCAUGAGAAGAAACAAUCGAGGAAAAUAAGGAUCCUGGAAGAAGAAGCACUGACUGGGAAGCGAUUGCUGUAGUCUAGAUAAGGAGCAAGGAGACUUGGAACUAGCCAGCAACAGCAAGGAUAAAUUUGAAGCCCGGGUUUAAAACCUCUUUUUGAAUGCCUUCUCAGCCUCUCCAGUUAAUAGAAUGCACAGGCUCCCUUGUCCCUUCUUUCUUCACCAUGGAAAAUUGCAGCCUGUGGUUGAUCACGUGGGCUGCUGGGCAGGGCUUGAUCGCAUGGGCUGUUGUGUUCUGUGGGAGUCUAACUGUGCCUGUAGCAUACCCAGAGAGUCUCAUUCUCCUGUGCCUGCAAAUUCUCGCUCUUCACAGUGCUGGCACCAGCUGUAAAGGAAGCAGGAGUUGUCAGCACCAGAUGUACUAUGAAAAUCAAACCCAAAUGUCCGAGAGCCAAGAUCUACCAGAGAGUACUGUCCUGGCCCACGUUGUCUGCAAUGGAGGAUCAGAGGUUUCCCCAGUUAACAUCAAGAUAAUAUUAAAAACUCUACAGUCUGCAAAGUAAAGGUUUACCUUAAAAUAAGAACAAGGAAUACUUCCAAGUGAAACAUUCUUUUGUUUUUGGCAGCAACUAAAAGUCAGAAUGGUGCAAGAGUCCUGGAGGCCGUACUAUGCUAUUUUAUCUACUGGAAAUUCUUCAGUCGAAUGAAAUUAUUUAUUUAAAAAGGUGUCACUGAAUUUAGGCUGGUAUUUCAGAAACUUUCUCCUCUGUGGUCUAAACGGUGGAGAAUGAAACAUGGUACUCAAGUGGGGAGAUUGAACCAUGAAUAAAGUCAGAUCCAUG